CCACCCCCCGACUCCCUCUCUCUUGUCUCUCGCUCUCUCUCUCUCUCUCGCUCUCUCUCUCAUUGCGCUGCGGCAGAAGCAGAAACCCUAGGUCCCUAGCCGCCGCCAUCGUGACCCCGUCGCCGCAUUUGUUUGCCGUUGAGAUGGGUUGUGCGGUGGUGGAUGGAUGCUUUGACCAUCUGUUUGCUGGUGGCCGUGUGGUUUUUGGAAUGUUUAGAAACUUGUUUUUUUUUUUUUAAUCUGCAUUGGGUAUCGACUUGUUUAUGAAUUCGUUGAUUCUCUAUUUUAAUGAAUUUGUUUGGUUGUUGGGAAAGUUGAAGGAAAAAAGCCCAAAUUUGUUUACUUCGUCCUUUUCACUCUCUGUAUGUACACAUCCAUGCUCUGUUUGAGUCCAAGAGAAAUUUCCAUAAACACCACAGUUUGAGUCCAAUGUAUCUGGAAUUCUUGAUGGUCAAGUCGAUGGCUUUUUGAGCUUAAAAAGCCUUCUUUCAUCUUUGUGUUGAUCUUUACUAAAGGGUUUUAUU